GGAGAAUAUUCAAGGGGAGCCACUGACAGGAGCCGAGAGAAAGGCCUUGGUGGAGAAGUGUCAAAAGAAGAAAACAAACAGGCAGAUUAAUAUAGGAAGAGAUGGUUUGACUCACAAUAUGUUAAAUGAUAUUUAUAAUCACUGGAAACAUGCCGAAGCAGUGAGGAUCAAAUGUCUAGGAGUUCCCACUGUUGAUAUGAAAAACGUGUGCAC
rnacentral:misc_RNA from 1 species